GACAGAGGGUGCAACCGUUGCUCGGAAUUACUGGGCGUAAAGCGCGUGUAGGCGGACCUGCAAGUCGGACGUGAAAGCCCUGGGCUCAACCCAGGAACUGCAUCCGAAACUGCGGGCCUGGAGUGGUGGAGAGGGAAGCAGAAUUCCUGGUGUAGAGGUGAAAUUCGUAGAUAUCAGGAGGAACACCGGUGGCGAAGGCGGCUUCCUGGACACUUACUGACGCUGAGACGCGAAAGCGUGGGGAGCAAACAGG
rnacentral:rRNA from 1 species